AUUUUUAGGAAAACACUUUGCAGUUGGUCUAUGGUCUAAAAUCAUCUGGCCAAAGGACUACGGUUGAAAAUUAGCCAACUGGCUAACACUGGCACAUUUACAGAAAUGU